UUCAUGUAUUUAUAUAUUUAUUAAAAAACAUUAAAUUAUAAAAGUUAUUAUACAAAACAUUAAUUAUUAAUAUUAUUUACUGAGCGUAGGUACCUAAACAGUUAUACUUAAUGUUAAGCCUAGUUCACACGUCAUAGACACUACAUACAAAGACUAAUGGUGACAAACGUGAUUAUAUAAAUUAAUAGUUCACGUGAUUAUAAAAAUUCACGGAUUCACGUGAUUAUCCAAUUCACGGAGUCGCGUGAAUAUAAUAAUUCACGGAUUCACGUAAACAAAAUUAUAAAUACACGUGAAAUUUUAAGCAACGGGUUGUAUAAAUUGAACCUAAAUUUCACGUGAACCCGUGAAAAUGUGUACACGUGAAAUAAGGAGCUCUAAUAUGUACCAACAAGGCAACAAGAACUGAACAAUCAGAAGGGCUUAUAUAAAUGACAAGUUCUCGCAUGUUUUAAAUUAUUAUUUGUUGGUGAAAAUUCAUGAGCAGUAAUACUGUGCAGAAAAUCAUAAUUGUUUUCUGAAAAAUAUGGCUUCAACGCUGUUUAAGUUUUUUGUACUGUUUAUCUGCAUAACAUUGAUCCAUAAUUCGUCACAAGGAGGAAGUGACGACGAAGUAGAAUCAAAUAAAGGCAAAUAAUUCAA